rnacentral:lncRNA from 1 species
UGGGGGGGUUUAUGAGGGAUUUUUCAGCAUUUGUGAGGGGAUUUUUGGGGGGUUUUGUGAGGAGAUUUUGGGGGGGUUCAGUGGUUUUUUUAGGGUUUUUUUAGGGGUUCUGAGGGGUUUUUUUGGGGUUUAUGACGGAUUUUUGAAGGGUUUUGUGAGGAGAUUUUGGGGGGUUAUGAGGGAUUUUUCAGCGUUUGUGAGGGGAUUUGGGGGGUUUUUGUGAGGAGAUUUUUUGGGGGGUUAUGAGGGAUUUUUCAGCGUUUAUGAGGGGAUUUUUGUGGGGGGUUGAGUAUUUUUUUAGGGGUUCUGAGGGUUUUUUUGGGGUUUAUGAGGGGUUUUUGAGGGUUUGCGAGGAGAUUUUUGAGGGUUUUUUUUAGGUUUGUGAGGGAUUUUUGAGAGAUUUUUUUGUGGGGUUUAUGAAGGGGUUUUCUUGGUAUUAUGAGGAGUUUUUUUGGGGUGCUUUUGAGCGUUUUAAUGAAGUUUUUUGGGGGCAUUACAAGAGGUUUUUGGAGUUUUUUUAGGAAGACUUGUGAGGAUUUUUAAGUGUUUUUAGGGGGACACCCUGAAUAAUUUUUUUUGAGGUUUUUUUUUGGACAUUUCCGACCACCCAAACGAGUCCUGCGGGUUCAGGGCUGUGCCUGACACUGGGAGAAUCCCGGAGAUCCCAGGGAUCCCUGUCCCUGUCCCCAAACUGGUGGCAGCAGGUGGCACUGUCGGCUCAGCAGCCACCGCCUGCUGCCGUCCCCGCUGCUCCCGAUUUCUGGGGGCUUUUGGGGAUUUUUGGGGGGCUUUUUUGGGCUUUUUUGGGGCUUUUUUGGGCUUUUUUUGGGGCUUUUUGCUGACUUUUUUGGGGCUUUUUGGGGGGCUUUUUGGGGACUUUUUUGGGGCUUUUUUUGGGGGCUUUUGGGGGUUUGGGAACAUUUUUUUGGCUUUUUGGGGCUUUUUUUUUUGGGGCUUUUUUUGGGGGCUUUUGGGGGUUUGGGAACAUUUUUUUGGCUUUUUGGGGCUUUUUUUGGGGCUUUUCUGGGGCUUUUUGGGGCUUUUUUGGGGGCUUUUUUCUGACUUUUUUGGGGCUUUUUUUGGGGCUUUUGGGGAUUUGGGAACUUUUUUGGGCUUUUUGGGGCUUUUUGCUGACUUUUUUGGGGCUUUUUGGGGGGCUUUUUGGGGUUUUUUUGGAGGGCUUUUUGUGGGGCUUUUUCGGGGCUUUUUGGGGGACUUUUGGGGCUUUUUGGGGGCUGUUUUUGGGGCUUUUGGGGGGCUUUUUGGUGACUUUUUUGGGGCUUUUUGGGGGGCUUUUUGGGGACUUUUUUGGGGCUUUUUUGCGGCUUUUGGGGAUUUGGGAACUUUUUUGGGGCUUUUGGGGGCUUUUUUGGGGCUUUUUUGGGGGCUUUUUGGGGGUUUGGGAACUUUUUUUCGGCUUUUUGGGGCUUUUGGGGACUUUUUUGGGGCUUUUUGGGGGCUUUUUUGGGGGGCUUUUUGCUGA